rnacentral:snoRNA from 22 species
AUCGUGAUGUGAUGACAACUUCUUGAGCUAUAUAUUUUCUUCCGAGAUUUUCAAUGAAGAAAACAUCUCAUCAAAUGAUUUGCACGUCAGUCUGAUCACAAU